CUUGCUUUUGAUGGGCGUCGACCGGUGCACGGGUGAGUAACGCGUAUCCAACCUGCCCACCACUUGGGGAUAACCUUGCGAAAGUAAGACUAAUACCCAAUGACAUCCAUAGAAGACAUCUGAAAUGGAUUAAAGAUUUAUCGGUGAUGGAUGGGGGUGCGUCUGAUUAGCUUGUUGGCGGGGUAACGGCCCACCAAGGCGACGAUCAGUAGGGGUUCUGAGAGGAAGGUCCCCCACAUUGGAACUGAGACACGGUCCAAACUCCUACGGGAGGCAGCAGUGAGGAAUAUUGGUCAAUGGGCGAGAGCCUGAACCAGCCAAGUAGCGUGCAGGACGACGGCCCUAUGGGUUGUAAACUGCUUUUAUAAGGGAAUAAAGUGAGUCUCGUGAGACUUUUUGCAUGUACCUUAUGAAUAAGGACCGGCUAAUUCCGUGCCAGCAGCCGCGGUAAUACGGAAGGUCCGGGCGUUAUCCGGAUUUAUUGGGUUUAAAGGGAGCGUAGGCCGGAGAUUAAGCGUGUUGUGAAAUGUAGAGGCUCAACCUCUGCACUGCAGCGCGAACUGGUCCUCUUGAGUACGCACAACGUGGGCGGAAUUCGUGGUGUAGCGGUGAAAUGCUUAGAUAUCACGAAGAACUCCGAUUGCGAAGGCAGCUCACGGGAGCGCAACUGACGCUGAAGCUCGAAAGUGCGGGUAUCGAACAGGAUUAGAUACCCUGGUAGUCCGCACGGUAAACGAUGGAUGCCCGCUGUUGGCCUGAAUAGGUCAGCGGCCAAGCGAAAGCGAAAAGCAUCCCACUCGGGGAGUAUUUACGCACAGGAGCC
rnacentral:rRNA from 1 species